ACUGCUUUUGCAGCAUCCCAUAGAUUUUGAAUGCAUGUGUCUGCAUUGUCAUUUGUCUCGAGGUGUUUUUUAAUUUCCUUCUUGAUUUCCUCAUUGACCCAUUGGUUCUUCAGUAACAUGUUAUUUAGUCUGCAUGUAGUAAGUUCUUUCUCAUUUCUUUUCCUGUGGUUGAUGGCAUACUUUAUGAGGUUAACAUUAUCCUGAUGCUAAAGCCAGAUAGAGACAUUACAAGAAAAAACAAUGUUACCAAUAUUUCUCCUGAACAUAGCUACAACCAUCCUUAUAUAUUUUUGCAAAUUAAAUCUAAAAAUGUUUUGAAAAGAAAGUACAUCAUGGCCAAGAAGAGUUUAAUUCAAGAAUGCAAGUUUUGUCCAAUAUACAAAAAAGAAGUUGGUAUAAGUCAUCAUAUCAGUAUCCUAAAAAUAAUAACCAUAAGAUCAUUUCUAUAGAUGCAGAAAAAUUAUUUGGCAAAAUUCCACAUCUGUUUAGAAUAAAUACUCAGCAACUAGGAAUAAAGAGUAGCUUCCUCAAAUUGUUAAAGGACAUCUAUAGAACAUCUACAGUGAGCAUAUUUAAUGGUGAAAGACUAUACAGUCUUGCUCUAAAAUUGAAAAAAUGUUAAAUAUGUCUGCUCUGCUCUUCCUAGUGAUCUUAGCCAGUGCAGUAGGGAAAACAAAAAAAGUGGAGGGAUGGAACAAAGUCAGGAAAGGAAAAUAAAAUUGUCUUUAUUUGCAGACAACAUGGUAUAUACAUGUUUGCAAAAGUAUUUUAAAAAAUCUACUAGACCUAAUUGAGUUUCACAAAAUAUCUAAAUGAGAUACACUGUAUAUACAGAUGGAAAUAUUCAGUAUUGAUUGUUAAGAUAACACUUUUCCUCAAAUUGAUCUAUAUGUUCAAUCCAGUCAUCAACAGACAUUUAUGUGGAAUUUGACAAGCUGAUUCAAAUCUUAUAUGGAAAUGCAGAAGACCUAGAGAACAAAACACUCAAGAAGACUCACAUUACUUGAUUUCUCAGCUUAUUAUAAAGCUAGAGUAAUCAAGGAUGUGGUAUUGGCAUAAGAAUAGGUCAAUGGAUCAGUAUAGUCUAGACACAUAUGGACAGUAAAUUUUUUUAGCAGUUUAAGAAAUCUUUAACUGUUGAGUCUCCUUUUUCAUUUGUUCAUUUUUUAAUUCAUGCUCAGGAAGUUACUUCUGUAUCCUUAACAAAUCACAUCUCCUCCCUCUCUCCUACCCAGAAAUCCUCCUUCUUCCCUUAGAAUUUCUGAUGCUGGAGAGAUCUGAGAGUUCUCGGAAAAUGUUUAAAGUCACCAGCCAAGACUGGAGCAUGCAGGUGGUACUAAUAGGCGCUGGCUCCAGAUUUUGUUGAGAUGAUCAAGAGGAAGCCUAAUCCAAUGCCUCAUAUUGCUUUGGGAUUCCUUAUCGAAGGAGAUCCUUGGAGAGCUCCCAGAUGUGGCCGUCUGAAGAGUGUCACAUUGUCUACAGUUGUACCUGCCAGAGGUAGGCCAGGCCAUCUUUGGAGGGGCCAUGAACAUACUGUAAGGCUCUUAGGCUAUUCGCGAAGUGGUGUGUUACUUGCAGAUCGACUGGGAUAAGCUAAAGGUGAAUAGUACAAAUACUAGACAAACCACUAAAAUAGCAAGUUAUUUUAUAGCUAAUAAUCCAAAAAGAGGAUAAAAAGGAAUUACAACGAACAGUCCAAAAGAAGGCAGAAAAAAAAAAAAAAAGAGAAGAACAGAUAGGA